CCAAUGUUGUCUCGACUUCUCGAGGCAGGACCCUCCCAGUUUUCUUGCCCCAUUGGGUUCAUGGUCACUGCAGACCCAGCCUUCUAGUGCACCCCUCUCUGCUGCCACUUCCUGUUCCCUCUGGCACCACUGCCUCAUCAAGCACAGUGGACGUGAUGGUGCCCACUGGAUGCCAGCCCGUCUCUGCAGAUGUCAAGGUGUCAGAGCUCAGUGAGGAGGAUGUCACCGUGUCCUACAUGGGAGAUGAGCUGGACCUGAAGACAGUGGGGGACAUCAUCGCCAUCAUUGAAGACAAGGCAGAUGAGACUGCAGAGGCGUUGGAUGCAGCUGCAGUCGAGGCUGCUCUGUCACUGUGUGAAGAGAACAGCCAUGCUUUGUCUAGUGCCUGGGCGGCUGGGCCUUUCCAGCCCCAUGACCCUCACCCUGCAGUGCCCACAGGGGUCCAACAGUCCUCUAAUCCAAACAGUAGCCUGGAGGGAAAGAAAGAAGUGUUCCAAGCUCAGGGUGAGACUUCUGCUUCUCUGCCCCCUCUGUGCAACAGUCAAGAUAACUGUUUUGCAGCUUUCCCUGUGGGACUAAGGGGCCCUCCUCCCACCUCUUCAUCCUCAUGCAACUCAAAGAGAUUGGAGCAUUGUCACAAUGGAGCAACUCCACAGCCAGUGGCAAUGAUAGGAACUGGAGAAAUGUGCACCGGAAAAGCCAGAUUUCAUCAAAUGUAACCAUAAAAUGUGAGAGGGAGAAGUGGACACAUCAAAGGCCUAUAAAUCAUCUGGAGACUCAGUGUUGGCGGAGGAGCCCAUUGACAGAGAGGAAACCAAAGGAGAGCAAAUCAGGGGAUGGACAAAGUGUUGGAGACAGUGCCUCAGGGUUUAAAGUUUACAGUGCAGUUAAUGGGCCAUCAGUGUGUGGAGAGAAGAUGAUGACGAGGGCGAUGCAGCGGAAGGCUUCUUGUCAGAGCCGGAGGGGGAGAUGGAGCUGGAACCUGUGGCCAGCGAGAGCGAGGAUGGAUACAGCCUCCACACGGCCUCCUCAUCUCUGCAGCUCCACACCACCGCAGACUCCAUCCCCAGCAGCCCUGCCUCAUCCCAAUUUUCCAUGUGCAGUGAGGACCUGGAAGCUCUGCAGGCUCAGAAAAUCUGGAAGAAAGCCAUUAUGCUGGUGUGGCGUGCAGCUGCCAAUCACAGGUAUGCAAAUGUCUUCCUGCAACCAGUAACAGAUGAAAUUGCACCUGGGUACCACAGUAUUGUGCACAGGCCCAUGGACCUCGCCACCAUAAAAAAGAACAUAGAGACUGGUUUGAUACGGACCACAGCCGAGUUCCAGAGGGACAUCAUGCUGAUGUUUCAGAACGCCGUCAUGUACAACAGUCUGGAUCACGACGUGUACACAUGGCUCUAGAGAUGCAACGCGACGUCCUGGAGCAGAUCCAGCAGUUUCUAGCCACCCAGCUCAUCAUGGAGACAUCAGAGGCCGGCAUCAGCGCUAAGAGCCUGAGGGGCCGUGAGAGCACACGCAAACAGGACUCCACUGACAAGGUGCUUCACUAGAAUUUUGACAAAAGCAGAGAGUACAGAAGAAGAGACAAGGGACACUGUCUCCAUGUCAUCUCCUGCCUUCCUCCUUUCUCUUUUUGAUGGAGGCACCAGAGGGCGCCGUUGUGCUAUAGAAGCUGACCUCAAGAUGAGAAAUGACGCUACAGACCAAGGGUUGUCUGGACAGUUUCCCCGAGCUGAUGUGAAAAGUGUGAUGCCACAAGACUGAAUUUAUUCCGUGUCAGCUGUGCAGAUUCUCACCCUGCAGAACUGGCAGUGUAACCUCUCAUUUGCACUCUAGGUUUAAUGACUUUGUGUGGAGAAACUGACUACUUGAGACAGCAAUACAGUCAUGAAUUACAUUCUGUAUAAUCUCAGAUUACAAUGGGGCCUCCAGAAAGACUAGGUCAGACUUCGCACAGACAUAGAUGCAGAUCACAAAGGCUUGCCUGCUCUGAAUUACAGCAGGUUGUAGAAAUGAGUUACUACAAGUUACUACUUGUGUACGAAUGGGAAAAAGGUCGGUCAAUGGAGGAGGGGGGGGGGGUUAUAUAUUAACAGAGGCCAAAGAGUCUGAUUUAAACUCAAAUAUCUGACUGAUCAGGGGGGCACAUACUAAUUUUCAAAACAUUUUCAUGCUGGUUUAAACUAAGUUUCUCUAAUUUUAAAAGGUCUUUCCGAUCAUUAUUGGAUGUGAGUGUUAUUGUGAUGGAUUGAUAUUCUUGAUGCUACACUUCCUGUGAAACAGUACCUUCAUGCAUAUUCUGAGCUGUUUGCAGUAUUUUUGAGAUGUCAUGUUAAUUAUCUGUUUUGUGGGCUUUCAGAUGAAUAAAACUUCCAAAAGAG